GGGCCAUUAGCUCAGUUGGUUAGAGCACGGUCCUGAUAAGGCCGGGGUCGAUGGUUCGAGUCCAUCAUGGCCCACCA
rnacentral:tRNA from 1 species